CAGACAGAACUCCAGCAUGCUGCCUUCUAUAAUCAGGGUAAUGAGCUAUAGGAUGGUAGAUGAUGCAGCAUUCAAAGACUUGGAAGUAGAAGGUGCCAUGCAUCUAACCAUCAUGGUAUCCACACAACCAGCACCCUCUUCCCUCCUCUCUCCCCAUUGUUCUGUAAGUAGGAGAACGAGAAGGACAUGUUCUCUUUCUGUUGUUUUAUGGUAUUUUGUGGGUAGCAAGUAACAAUAUUAACAAUUAAU
rnacentral:lncRNA from 1 species